AUUGAACGCUGGCGGCAGGCCUAACACAUGCAAGUCGAGCGAGCGGCGGACGUGUGAGUAAUGUAUGGGGAUCUGCCCGAUAGAGGGGGAUAACUACUGGAAACGGUAGCUAAUACCGCAUACCAUCAGAUGUGCCCAUAUGGGAUUAGCUAGUAGGUGGGGUAAUGGCUCACCUAGGCGACGAUCCCUAGCGGGUCUGAGAGGAUGACCAGCCAGACUGGAACUGAGACACGGCCCAGACUCCUACGGGAGGCAGCAGUGGGGAAUAUUGCACAAUGGGCGCAAGCCUGAUGCAGCCAUGCCGCGUGUGUGAAGAAGGCCUUAGGGUUGUAAAGCACUUUCAGCGAGGAGGCGUUACUCGCAGAAGAAGCACCGGCUAACUCCGUGCCAGCAGCCGCGGUAAUAC
rnacentral:rRNA from 1 species